GCUGUUUUUGGGAUCAUAGUGUAUUGACGAGGAUAAGAAAGAAUAUUUUUAGAUUAUAGCCCACUACUUACGAUUUUGGGUUUUAUUUUGGUGUUUUAAUGGACUUAAAAUUAUAAUAAGUCAGAAAUAUUAUUUUAUUCUUAAAAUAUGUUAAUUGAUUAGUGGUAUACCUUAGUAAAAAACAAAAUAUUAAAAUAGGCAGAAGUCAUAAUUUGUUUAAAAUAUUGCAGGAAGGAAAAUAGAUUUGAAACAAAUUUUAAAAUAGAAUGCAAAGGAUGUAUAUCUAUAGUUAAGAACAUUCCUUUUUAGUGAAGGCAAAGUAAAAGAGUGGGAAAUUUCAUGCUUUAUGCAUGAUAAUGCACACUAAUUGUAAAAGAUAAAUUUAACUAUUUAUGCAUAAUAGUGUGUAUAAUUACUAAAUAAUACGAGCAUUAAUUAAUUUUUCAAAUUGGUGCUAAACUUUCACCAAGUACCAAAAAUACCCCUCUCAUUUGUUCCCACCCAAAAUUUUUCCUACACAAACUCUCACUCUCUCACACUUUCUCUCUCUAUCUGUUGCUCUAAAUCCUCGAAACCCAAACCCAAACCGAAGCAAACCCCAAAAAGCAAAGGGAACCAACAACGUCGAUCUCACCCUCUCUCUUUCUCUUCUCCAAAGUCGGCCACCCAGAACUCGUCGAACCUAUCGAGCCAACGACGACAACGAAGCUCGAGUCCCAUGGCGUCGGACCCGUCAAUCAAACCCAUAUUCUCAGUAAGAUGCUUAAGUUGCUUGUUCCGUUUAGUGUUCACUUUCGGGGUAGUAGCACUUUAAAUCACAUUAAGACUAGGUUUGUGGAACUCGGGCUGAUAGAAAGGGCUAGGGAAUCCCAUUUCAAGCAAUUCUUUUUGGCUUCAAAGUUUAAUUUCUCCGGAGUUUUGGUGCAUCAACUUCUGUUGAGGAAAAUCGCCAGCAACAACGAAGAUGAGGUGCAUUUCUUCUUGGGGUCGAAGUCUUGUAGAUUCGACAUGGGAGAGUUUGCCCUGGUGAGGGGGUUGAAUUUCAGUACCUUCCCGUCACCAAAAUAGUUGGAAGAGCGUAAUCUGAGCAACCGGUUGAUAAAUGAGUAUUUCAAUGAUGCUGAGAAAGUAAAGCUCUCACAAGUGGACCAUGCUUUCAAGACUUGUAUUGUUGUGGAAGAUGUGUACAAGCUUGGUCUAUGUUUGUUGGUUGAAGGUGUUCUGAAUGCCAUAGAAGGCAAGUUGCACAUAUGGCGAGAUAUUCUCAAGAUGGUUAAGGACGCCGACUACUUCUUCAGCUAUCUAUGAGGGAAGUACUCUUACAAGAGGCUAUUAAAGUCUUGUAAGAAGGAUAUGGUGAAGCAAAAGACCAACUAUGAAAACAAGAAGGAUGCCAAGGUGCAUCAAGAGUCCAAGUACAGUAUGUAUGGUUAUGCCUCGACCUUACAUUACUGGGCAUAUGAGGCUAUCCAAUAGCUUGCGACAGAGUUUGUUGUAAGCUCGGGAAACAUGGUCCCGAGGAUGCUUAGUUGGUCGCAUCAGAGGAAUAAAGAUUUCACCAAGUCCAUCAUCUCACUGAUGUUAUCGAAGAAGAAUCCUCAACCAGCAGAAAAAAACUAUUAUUUGUCGUUGACAGUGGGAGAUCUUCCCCUUUAUCCCGGGCUUGGCCAGAAUCCCUCGGAGGCUGAUGAGGAGGAGGAUGCGAAUUUUGAGAAAGUCGUGGAGAUAGUUUCUCAGGCAGCCGAGGCAGCCAAGAUAUUUGAUGAUGCUGCCCCGGAGGAGGAAGAGGUUGCAGGUCCCACCCCUCCUGUUGCCCCAGUCUCAGCCUUAGCCCUAACCUCAGCCUCAGCCCCAACCCCAACCCCUGAGCUCGCCGACUUGAUUGAGCGGUUGGACAGAGUCGAGGGUCGACAUGAGACCCUCCUGAAGAACCAGUCAAUAAUCCUGGACGCAGUCAGUUAGAUCCUGACGUUUAUUAAGGAGAAACCGAGGGGCUCUAAGGAAGAUUCAGACUCAGAGUCACUGGAUAUACCUCUGGACUAUGUUGAUGAUCCAACCACGCCUCCUACCAUCAUUGAGACACCUGAUGCUGCGACUCCGGGAGUCGUUAUUGUCAACCCUGAGGAUGUUGCUGGGGUUCGGUUUCAGAGGAAUAGACGCCAAAGACGCAAGCCAGAUUGGUUUGAGGACUACAUCGAUCACACGAGGAAAAGACCUCGCACUGAUGCAGCUGCACCAGAAGAGGAGGCUACACAGGUGCUGGACCCUCUCAAGAAGCUAGAUCGCAAACAGUAUAGGACAGUGUCCAAGUGACUGCUUGGAGACAUCCCCAACAAGACCCCGAGUGAUGUAAAGACUGGGAAUCACGGUCCAACGUGGUUUCUGAUGUGGAAGACACCCUAGUCGUGGCUCAAUGAUGGGCAUAUUGAUGCGACAGAACACAUGCUUAGUAUGCGUCACAAGUAUUUUACCAAUACAUAUCGACAUAAUGUAGUUGUGAUUAACAUUUAUUUCUCAAAAGUGAUACCUGCCCGAUAUGAUCAGUACAAGAAAAUUGCCGACAAAACAAAGUUCACGUGGGAUUCUGACGUUAUGUCCAUGUUGACCGGCAUUGAGCAGCAGUUUCUGGCAUCUUUGGGAGGAGUUGAGGAUGUAUAUUAGUGCCAAAACUAUGAAUAGCAACAUUGGUUUGCCAUUGAGGCUUCUAUUUCUAGUUGGACUCUCACUGUUUAUGAUUCAGACAACUCGGUGAUUAGUGAUACAAAGUUGGAGGAAAUUAUGAAUCUAUGGUGCUUUUUUCUUCCUUCUCUAUUGAUGUAGAGUAAAUUGUUCACUGAUAGCUUGAUGUUGAAGAUUCCUACAGCAGGAAAGAGGCUGCAUCAGUUCACAUGGCGUCGCAAACAGAAACACGAGCUCACUCAAUCAAAGAGAAGUGAGGAUUGUGGUGUGUAUGCUGUCAAGCAUAUUGAGCAUCUCAUGGCCGACCUUCCAUUGGAAAUCAUCUGGGAUGAAAAUAUAGAGGUGUUUAGGAACAAGUGGACCACAGACUUGUGGUAUCAAAAUUUGUUACCUUGAUGAUUGUAUAUAUACAAGGUCUUUACAUGUACAGUUUUUUGUUCACAUUUUUUUAUAACUUUCAUAGGCUAUUAUCGAGCUAUAUCGAACAUUAUCGAACUAA